rnacentral:rRNA from 1 species
GACGAACGCUGGCGGCGUGCUUAACACAUGCAAGUCGAACGGAAAGGCCCUGCUUUUGUGGGGUUCUCGAGUGGCGAACGGGUGAGUAACACGUGAGUAACCUGCCCUUCACUUUGGGAUAACUUCAGGAAACUGGGGCUAAUACCGGAUAGGAGCUCCUGCUGCGUGGUGGGGGUUGGAAAGUUUCGGCGGUUGGGGAUGGACUCGCGGCUUAUCAGCUUGUUGGUGGGGUAGUGGCUUACCAAGGCUUUGACGGGUAGCCGGCCUGAGAGGGUGACCGGCGACAAUGGGACUGAGAUACGGCCCAGACUCCUACGGGAGGCAGCAGUGGGGAAUAUGGCACAAUGGGCGGAAGCGUGAUGCAGCAACGCCGCGUGCGGAAUGACGGCCUUCGGGGUGUAAACCGCUUUCGCCUGUGACGAAGCGUGAGUGACGGUAAUGGGUAAAGAAGCACCGGCUAACUACGUG